UACGUAGGUGGCAAGCGUUAUCCGGAUUUACUGGGUGUAAAGGGCGUGUAGGCGGGGAAGCAAGUCAGAUGUGAAAACCACGGGCUCAACCUGUGGCCUGCAUUUGAAACUGUUUUUCUUGAGUGCUGGAGAGGCAAUCGGAAUUCCGUGUGUAGCGGUGAAAUGCGUAGAUAUACGGAGGAACACCAGUGGCGAAGGCGGAUUGCUGGACAGUAACUGACGCUGAGGCGCGAAAGCGUGGGGAGCAGACAGG
rnacentral:rRNA from 1 species